AUUGAACGCUGGCGGCAGGCCUAACACAUGCAAGUCGAGCGAGCGGCGGACGGGUGAGUAAUGUCUGGGAAACUGCCUGAUGGCGGGGGAUAACUACUGGAAACGGUAGCUAAUACCGCAUACCAUCAGAUGUGCCCAGAUGGGAUUAGCUAGUAGGUGGGGGAACGGCUCACCUCGGCGACGAUCCAUAGCUGGUCUGAGAGGAUGACCCGCCACACUGGAACUGAGACACGGUCCAGACUCCUACGGGAGGCAGCAGUAGGGAAUAUUGGACAAUGGGCGCAAGCCUGAUGCAGCCAUGCCGCGUGUAUGAAGAAGGCCUUCGGGUUGUAAAGUACUGUCAGCGGGGAAGCGUUACCCGAAGAGAAAGCACCGGCUAACUACGUGCCAGCAGCCGCGGUAAUAC
rnacentral:rRNA from 1 species